ensembl:lncRNA
CUGACCUUUAGUUUUAACUUUGGUGCAGUAAAAAUUUGCCACCAGGGGGAGCAGUGCAGGGUCCCUUCCUCAGGGAACCAACUGAACUAACUGCAUGUCAUUGACAAAAACAGAUCCCCUCUACUGUAGAUUAUUAAAAGUUACUGUAUUAAGUUUGUAAGACAUUCACUUCUGAAAACCUAGAGAGUUUUAAUAGAUUUAUUAAUUGUAUUACAAUUAUCCUAUGUCCUUUCUUGUUUUAUCUUUUGAACAGGUUCAACUGAAAUAUAUAUAUAUAUAUAUCAUGCGAAUCACAAACAAGUACAUGCGAAUCAAAUAUAGUACUUUUAACACUGUAAAUAAUACCCAUCAUGUUACUAAAUAUUCUUGACUGGCAUAAUAGUUUUCUUUCAUCGUGUCUGUAUGUAACACAUCCAGUCUGAGUCACUUAUGAUGCACUGUUCUGUUGCGCAGUGACUUUUUGAACAUGCUCCAGCCUGUAAAGACAGUACAGUGACCUCUGAGAGAGAGGUAUCUCUGAUUUGUCCUGUCACCUCUGAUGCUACAGUCUUCUCUCUUUGCUCCUCCUCCAGUUUUUGCUGCUGAAGCCCUAAAGCAGAGGGCGCCGUGCAGACCAACAAGAACAUGCCUUGACUUGUACCGGCUUGUCAGGAGGGAGUUAAGGCUUGUGGUCAGCACCAGCAACUGUAUUGUUCUCAUCUAAAUGACCAGUGAAAGAUGACAACUGCAUACUAUCGACUGGAGAAUAUAUGGAUAUUGGGACAGACUGGGCUGAGAAUCUCGGCAGGGAUAUCCUCUCUCUGGAAGAUCCCUGACUUCACCUCCUCUGAUGACAUGACCCCUGAGAGAGACAAAAGAAACGUAUCCAGAUGUCCUGGAGAAGAUGAGAGACCCUGUGUCAGCAGUAAGGAAACCUCUCACCUACCUUCAUCUCUUGGAAAGCAAAAGCAGAACAAAGGCUUAUUCUUUAAGGGGAAAUCUACCUCUGUCCCUUGGCUGUCAUACAAGUACUGUGUGUGGACAUUCCACGAGCAGAGUAUUAAAGUGUCCAGAGCUGACCUGCAGGAGACGGCAGAGUCAUAUACUGGAAGCCUUUACAGUCACCGACAGCUGAUGGUGAUGGAAGGAAAGAGAGCGAGUGAGGGAUGAGGGCUGCUGCUGUGAGUGGUUCUUUGGCAGUGUCUUAGCUGGUUGUUGUGUGGAGUGAGAACGAAGCAAUCAGCAAGUAUACUGCCGCAGAAACUCGUCACCUUGAGAGGCCCAUCCAUCCGACCCCGCUCAUACACUCGACUGCCCACCCGCACUCAGAGGCUGGAGAGAGACAGGAAAAGAGAAACCUUAGUCUGUGCUCAUUAUCAAGCUUCUCUACCCAUUCAUUCUUCUUCUAAUUGUGAGUGUCAGCUUUUGUUUAAUGGCACCGCUGCUUAAACACUUACAGCGACUUGAGUGUUUCAAGUGAAAGAUUGGUUCAUGCUUACAGUAUGUUUACUCUUAUUUUCUAUGACAUUGCUGACUUAGUUUAGAUCAGUCUGUUCCCUUUCUUUCUUCUUCCAUGAGAUCAAGAGUGAAUCAUUCAAGUGUUAUUGUGAAUAUCAGCUGACCAGAUUUCACAGUUUCAGUAAUGGUAUGACUUGGCCUAUAUUUAGCUUACAGUCUGAUGACAUAUGCAUACUGUGUUCUGUGUAUGUAUAAACUUAAUCGUGGACCAAAACAUUAAUCAUAUGAUAAACCAAAAAUAAUAUUUAUUUACAUUUCACUUAUAUACUAAAAUUAGAGAGAAUAUAUAUGUGAAAGAAAGAAAUACAGUGGGUAAGGAAAGUAUUCAGACCCCCUUACAUUUUUCACUUUCACCCUAAUACUUAGGACCAUGUGAUAUUUCAGUUUUUCUUUUUUAAUAAAUCUGCAAAAAUGUAAACAAUUCUGUGUUUUUCUGUGAAUAUGGGGUGCUGUGUGUACAUUAAUGAGCAAAAAAAAAAAUGAACUUAAAUGAUUUUAGCAAAUGGCUGCAAUAUAACAAAGAGUGAAAAAUUUAAGGGGGUCUGAAUACUUUCCGUACCCACUGUAUAUAAAAUUCACUUCAUUCAAAAAUAAAAUUACAAUUUUUGUAUUUUGUAAAUUUUUAUUUUUUGUAAUAUUUUUGUAUCAAGUAAUAUUUCUUUUAAAAAUAAGAUUAAAACUAUAUAUACUAAAAAAUAUAUAUAUAGAAAAAUUCUAUAUAAAUGCAUUUUUAAAAUUCUAAUAACAAUAAAAACAUUCUUAUUAUUGUCGUGUUAUUUUUCUGUUUCUGGCAUAUGGUUAGUCUUUAAAGCAGUUUUAAGUUGAGUUUCAUUUUCAGGGAAUUUCAUUAGUGUGUGGGUUUCGGUUGUUGAUCUUCAAAAGGGCAGUUUUAUUCAGGUGAAUGAAAUGCCUGUAACUCACUUGAGGUUUUCAUGUAAUCACAUCAGUGUGGCAGUAAGUUUGAACUUGUCUAGAAAGCUGGAAAUCAAUUUAGUAAGGUCUUUCACAAUGUAUUAAAGUAAUUGUUUUAAUCAUAACCUAAAAGUGUGCUUAUAAUACUGUGAAAUGGAGUGUAACUUAAUAUCACAAACAUAUUGUAUUUUAAAAGGUAUGUUAUAUGUGUGUGUGUGUGUGUAAAAGAGUAAUUAUAGCAAAUGAACUGUUUGAAUAUUUGUCCUAUAGGCCACUUACUACACUGGAUCUAAAUGGACAAUGGCAAUAAAAAAAUGUAUGCACAAAACAAUGUGCAUGAUAAAUGCCCAACUCCCAACAAACGUUGUUUCAGUUGUAUGGUUAACCCAGACAUAGACAGAAAGUACUUUGCAUUUAUUGUAGUUUAUCUCUUGAGUCUGAAUUGUAUUAUGUCAGUGGCUCUGGAGUUUAAUUUACAUUAUCUGUGAUAACAGAUUCAAACUGAACUUGAAUAUAUCAGUAUUCAAAAUAGAUGUUUUUACAUAGUCCUUCUCAAUUAUAUUUUACAUCAAAUUACACCGCAUACGAUGCAAUAAAAUAUAGUACAUAACAUAAUAAAAUGUAUUAAAAUAUGUAUCAUUCAACACAGUUAAUAUAAUAUAAUGAUUCCCUCUGCUGAAGGCCUCAUCAUUUAUGCUCACUUUCAACAACUUUUAGGCUACAUCUUCACACCUUACUGGCAGAAUUUAGGAAUUUGUUUAAUUAAUUAUGAAUGCAUUGCAGAAGAAUACAAAGUGCUGAUGACAUAUUUAUGUUGGUGAUGUCUGUCGAGCCUCUAAGGGUAUUUUUGAGAGCAAAAAAAAAAACUGCACUGCUCACACUCACACUCACACUCACAUGGAGUAAUGAGAAUAAGAAAGUGAAAUUCCUCUAAAUAACACUCUGCAUGCACAGCUCACAGAGGUGAUGGGAAGAAAUCUAUAGGUUGCCUUUAAUGGCAAAGCAUUGAUUUUUUUUUCUCUUCUCCACUUUCUUCCUCUCUGCCUGAAAUACAACGAUGCACCACAUUGGGACAGAAUGCUGCAGUUUUCCAGGAAACAGUAUUCUUAGAAAACUUGCUGCUCUACUGGUGACAGUGUGAUAAAAGGAGAUGCAUUUACCUCAAAUGAAUCCUGGCCUAAAUAAUAGACUAAAAGACAAAGAAAUCCACUAUAAGCUGAAAUAUAGGCUACCUUUUUUUUUUUUUUUUUUACAAAAACACAAUCUCUCUCCAAAAACUUUCAUUAUGAUAGAUCAAAAACUAAUAACUAAUGAUAUAAAGAGGUUAAAAGAAAAGAGACCAAGAUCUUAAAGCUUGAUUGAAGUUCAUAUAGCGCCAUCUAAUGGCGUAUUAUAGUGAUUGCAUGUAUUUAAUUGUCAAUAAUUGCAGGCACAUUUGCAAUGCCGCAUUGCUUGUACACAUACUUAAACCAAACUCUCAGUUCCAUUUGGAAUGUUGGAAUGUAGUUGCAUCUUAUAACAUUUUUGGGUGAAUGCACUGAUCUAUAGAUCAGUGGGUGAAUGACAUUUUGUUGAAAAGGAUUAACGUUCUGAAGAAAAAAAGAAUGUUUGUAAUCUUACGAAAAUUAACCAUGGUUUUACUACAAAUAAAACAAGGUUACUAAAGUUACCGCAAAUUAACCAUGGUUUUGCAACACUAACCAUAGUUUAACCACGAUAUUUGUAGUAAAACUGUGGUUAUACAAAUGUAGUCAAUAUGCCAAAAAAACAUAGUUACUACAAUUUUACUAUAAUAAAACCAUAUUUAAUUUCCGUAAGUACUGGUGUUUUGUCGAAGUUCGUAAAUCUUUUAGGCCUAUGUGAAAUUAAAGAAUUUAUCUGAUUUACUGUCGUUUGUGAGGAAAAAUGUUAAACUUGCUUUCUGGCGUAUAUUUUAAUAAAACACAGACUUGUGAUUGGUUCCAUGUCCCCAUCUACUUGCGUGACAUUGAAACCUACAGAAAAAGUUACUAAAUGAUUCAGUGAACGAUUCUGUAUGAUUCUUUUUAGUGUUUCGAAUCAAAGGAUUCACUUGAUGAAUCACUCUCUUACACUAGUGACUUAACCUUCUCAAACUGUUAAACGCAAAAACAAAGUUCGUCAGCUUAGAUUACAAGGCUGGCCACACGUUUAGUCUGUUUUAUAACAAGUAACAAAAAAUGGACACGUUGUUCAUGUUUGAUUUGUUUUUUUCAAGACACUGUUUGCCUCGGCUGUUGUGAAGAAGCUGUUGGACUGGCUCUUGUAAAGCCUCUGGAACGCCGCUGGAUCUUAAAGCCCGUCUUGUUUUUCAGGGUAACGCUUUGUCAAGGGAAAAGUGGACUGGAAAUCUCUUCGGGUUAAAAGUGGAUUCGAUACUUUAAAUAAGACUCGCCUCUACCGAACAAACAAACUAGGCGUUAUUAGAUUUU